UUCCGAACGGGGGAUGCUGUGCGCUCUAUGUGGCCGAUUGCAAAUCCAUAAGCGUAUAGCUUUUCCCAUUUGGCG
rnacentral:pre_miRNA from 1 species